rnacentral:rRNA from 1 species
CCUACGGGUGGCAGCAGUGGGGGAUAUUGCACAAUGGGGGAAACCCUGAUGCAGCAACGCCGCGUGGGCGAAGAAGUAUUUCGGUAUGUAAACCCCUAUCCUCAGGGAAGAAGAAAGUACGGUACCUGAGUAAGUAACCCCGGCUAAAUACGUUUCAGCAGCCGCGGUAAAACGGAGGGUGCAAGCGUUAUCCGGAUUUACUGGGUGUAAAGGGAGCGCAGGCGGCACGGCAAGCCUGAUGUGAAAGCCCGCGGCCCAACCGCGGGACUGCAUUGGGAACUACCGGGCUGGAGUGCCGGAGAGGUAGGCGGAAUGACUAGUGUAGCGGUGAAAUGCGUAGAUAUGAGGAGGAACACCAGUGGCGAAGGCGGACUACUGGACGGUGACUGACGCUGAGGCUCGAAAGCGUGGGGAGCAAACAGGAUUAGAUACCCCAGUAGUC